rnacentral:rRNA from 1 species
AUCCAGGAGAAGUCUGACUGAGCACGCCGCGUGAGUGAUGAAGGCUUUCGGGUCGUAAAACUCUGUUGUUAGGGAAGAACAAGUGCUAGAUUGAAUAAGCUGGCACCUUGACGGUACCUAACCAUGAAAGCCACGGCUAACUACGCUGCCAGCAGCCGCGGUAAUACGUAUGUGGCAAGCGUUAUCCGGAAUUAUUGGGCGUAAAGCGCGCGCAGGUGGUUUCUUAAGUCUGAUGUGAAAGCCCACGGCUCAACCGUGGAGGGUCAUUGGAAACUGGGAGACUUGAGUGCAGAAGAGGAAAGUGGAAUUCCAUGUGUAGCGGUGAAAUGCGUAGAGAUAUGGAGGAACACCAGUGGCGAAGGCGACUUUCUGGUCUGUAACUGACACUGAGGCGCGAAAGCGUGGGGAGCAAACAGGAUUAGAUACCCUGGUAGUCCACGCCGUAAACGAUGAGUGCUAAGUGUUAGAGGGUUUCCGCCCUUUAGUGCUGAAGUUAACGCAUUAAGCACUCCGCCUGGGGAGUACGGCCGCAAGGCUGAAACUCAAAGAAAUGGGACGGGA